rnacentral:ribozyme from 14 species
CAAAUCCAAUGUUCAUGAAAAGACAAAAAAAAAAAAAAAAAAAAAAAAAAAAAAUGU